AAAUGAAUAGACGGGGGCCCGCACAAGCGGUGGAGCAUGUGGUUUAAUUCGACGCAACGCGAAGAACCUUACCAGGUCUUGACAUCCCCUGACGUGUACAGAGAUGUGCAUUUUCAUCUUCGGAUGGACAGGGAGACAGGUGGUGCAUGGUUGUCGUCAGCUCGUGUCGUGAGAUGUUGGGUUAAGUCCCGCAACGAGCGCAACCCUUAUUGUUAGUUGCCAUCAUUAAGUUGGGCACUCUAAUGAGACUGCCGGUGACAAACCGGAGGAAGGUGGGGAUGACGUCAAAUCAUCAUGCCCUUUAUGACCUGGGCUACACACGUGCUACAAUGGCCUGUACAAAGGGUAGCCAAGUCGUGAGGUGGAGCCAAUCCCACAAAGCAGGUCUCAGUUCGGAUUGCAGGCUGCAACUCGCCUGCAUGAAGUCGGAAUCGCUAGUAAUCGCGGAUCAGCAUGCCGCGGUGAAUACGUUCCCGGGCCUUGUACACACCGCCCGU
rnacentral:rRNA from 1 species